UACAUAGGAAUCUACCUUAUAGUUUGGUUAAAUACCUUAUAUUUCAAAGACUGUGUCGCUAUAAGAUGAGCCUUUGUAGGAUUAGGUAGUUGGUAAGGUAAUAGCUUACCAAGCCGAUGAUCCUUAAUUGGUCUGAGAGGAUGUACAGUCACACUAGAACUGAGACAAGGUCUAGACAUCUACGGAUGGCAGCAGUGAGGAAUCUUGAACAAUGGGCGCAAGCUUGAUUCAGCGAUAUAGAGUGAAUGAUGACAGUCAUUUGAUUGUAAAGUUCUUUUACCAAGGAAGAUUUUGACUUUA
rnacentral:rRNA from 1 species